AGAAUCAACGCUGGCGGCGUGCCUCAGACAUGCAAGUCGAACGAUUAAAGCUCUCUUCGGAGAGUGUAUAGAGUGGCGCACGGGUGAGUAACACGUAAGUAAUCUACCUCUGAGUGGGGAUACGUCCGGAAACGGACGCUAAUACCGCAUAAUGCAGCGGCACCGCAAGGUGACAGUUGUUAAAGAUUUAUCGCUUAGAGAGGAGCUUGCGGCAGAUUAGCUAGUUGGUAAGGUAAUGGCUUACCAAGGCUACGAUCUGUAACCGGUCUUAGAGGACGGUCGGUCACACUGACACUGAAUAACGGGU
rnacentral:rRNA from 1 species